rnacentral:lncRNA from 1 species
CUGAGGUGAGGCCCAAUACCCUGCAUCUGCAAUAAUUCUGAUGCAAGAGGUCACUGGUGAUUCCACAUGCAGCUGCCUGUAAGAACCACAGCGAUCUCAUUUCCCCAGAUGGUGAAGCCAAGACCCAGUGAGGAUAAGUCAAUCACCCAAUGCCACACAGUUGAUGAGAACACAGGCAUGAGAAAGAGAAGCAAUUUGACUAAGAUGGAAAGACAGAGUUUACAGUCCAACAGGGAGACUGGCAUGAAACAAACAUAGAAAUAAAUACACAGCCGCAAAGAAUGCUCAGGGACUUUGGGGGCAUAGAUUCUCCACACUCCGGAGGAUGACGGCAUUAGUGGCACGGCCAUAAGAAGAGGCUUGUUGGCCAAAGUUUCAGGUUCCACGUGGGAGCAAAAGGACACAGCAGUUCCAGCUCUUAUCUUCUGACAAGUUUCAGGCAUAGUGGAAAGAGAAGUAAGUUGCAAGCAUGAUGAUAAUUUACCUCUGAAUAGAUCAGCUGUUAUCUCAGAAGAACAAGGACAUUCUCCUCCACAACUAUUAUCACAGUCAAUAAAG